UACGUAGGGGGCAAGCGUUGUCCGGAAUUAUUGGGCGUAAAGCGCGCGCAGGCGGUUAUUUAAGUCGGGGGUUUAAGCCCGGGGCUCAACCCCGGUUCGCAUCCGAAACUGGAUGACUUGAGUGUAGGAGAGGAAAGUGGAAUUCCACGUGUAGCGGUGAAAUGCGUAGAGAUGUGGAGGAACACCAGUGGCGAAGGCGACUUUCUGGCCUAUAACUGACGCUGAGGCGCGAAAGCGUGGGGAGCAAACAGG
rnacentral:rRNA from 1 species